AGCAGCUUGUUGAUGCUCCAUCUCCAAUACUGGAUUUCAAAUUAUGUUAUAACUGUAAAUUUGAUAUGGAAAUAGAUAUAAGUUGCUUUUUCUUUUCGCAAAUCUUGAUUUAGGUUUUCAGAAUGUCUCCAGCUUUCUGCACAUUUGGAUUUGUAUUGCUUUUGCUUCCAAGAAAAGUGGAGAGUGUUACGUUUCAACAGUCUCCUCCUCAAGUCGUUAAAGAAGGGACUAAGGAGCUGAAGAUUGACUGCAGUCACGAUGGCAGCAGCUUACAAGUAAUGCUGUGGUACCAACACAAGCAGAGCAGCCGGUCCAUGAGCCUCAUCGGGUACACAAUCCUCCAGACUGACCCAGUCUACGAGAGCCAGUUUCAAGGCAGAUUCCAGCUGAAAAGAGACAACACAAUGAACGGAUCCCUGAUCAUCAACACGGCGACGCCGUCAGACUCAGCCGUGUAUUUCUGUGCUGCAAGUACACAGUGAUGUGGUUUCUUACCAACGCUUCACCAAAAACCUCC